UACGUAGGGCGCAAGCGUUAUCCGGAAUUAUUGGGCGUAAAGAGCUCGUAGGCGGUUUGUCGCGUCUGCCGUGAAAGUCCGGGGCUCAACUCCGGAUCUGCGGGUGGGUACGGGCAGACUAGAGUGAUGUAGGGGAGACUGGAAUUCCUGGUGUAGCGGUGAAAUGCGCAGAUAUCAGGAGGAACACCGAUGGCGAAGGCAGGUCUCUGGGCAUUAACUGACGCUGAGGAGCGAAAGCAUGGGGAGCGAACAGG
rnacentral:rRNA from 1 species